AUUGCUUCCAAAUCCAAGGAACAGGCAUCUCGGAUCACUGCGCUGUGAGGGCAGGAGGACCCUUCUUUUGGAAAGCGGAAACAGGGCUACCCGAUCUAUCGGUGUCCUAUGGAACCACACUGCCCCCUGUGGUCAGAACCACCUGGGAUGCAGAACAGCAAGGACUGCAAACUUGGGUGCAGAGGGCUUUCCUCCACGCAACCCAGGAAGCUCCGUGAUUGGCAAACUGCUCUGUCAGGAUCCAUCGAAUCAGCAAACAUAGGUGCCUCUAGGAUGCAAACCAGGGAACAGGACUGUUAUGUGGCUUGCUGGUAGCCAAGCAAAAUGCCCCGAUCCAUCAGGUUGGUGAGAGGCCGCUGAAUGAGACCCAGCCUCGUGUUUUGUGGGAUGAAGAGAUGCAGACAAAGUGACUCAGGACCAGAAGGCCCCCUCAGUACCAUCUGAGGACACCGCAGUAGUGCCUAUUAAAUAACAUCCAGACAAGGCAUGGCCCUUCAACUAUCUUAUGAAAUGAGAAACCACCACACCGGCCACGAAGCCGUUCACAUACACAUGUGCAGGGUGGAUGAG
ensembl:lncRNA novel transcript, antisense to TLN2